UACGUAGGGCCCGAGCGUUGUCCGGAAUUAUUGGGCGUAAAGAGCUCGUAGGCGGUUUGUCGCGUCUGCCGUGAAAGUCCGGGGCUCAACUCCGGAUCUGCGGUGGGUACGGGCAGACUAGAGUGAUGUAGGGGGAGACUGGAAUUCCUGGUGUAGCGGUGAAAUGCGCAGAUAUCAGGAGGAACACCGAUGGCGAAGGCAGGUCUCUGGGCAUUAACUGACGCUGAGGAGCGAAAGCAUGGGGAGCGAACAGG
rnacentral:rRNA from 1 species